rnacentral:Y_RNA from 1 species
GGCUGGUCUAACUGCAGUGUUGUUUAUAACUAAUGAUCACUUCCAGUUACAGGUUUCUUUGUUAUCUCUCCACUCCCUCUGAUUCACUAGACUAAAGCCUGGU